UACGUAGGGAGCUAGCGUUGUCCGGAAUCAUUGGGCGUAAAGCGCGCGUAGGCGGCCCGGUAAGUCCGCUGUGAAAGUCAAAGGCUCAACCUUUGAAUGUCAGCGGAUACUGCCGGGCUAGAGUCCGGAAGAGGCGAGUGGAACUCCUGGUGUAGCGGUGGAAUGCGCAGAUAUCAGGAAGAACACCAACGGCGAAGGCAGCUCGCUGGGACGGAACUGACGCUAAGGCGCGAAAAGCGUGGGGGAGCGAACAGG
rnacentral:rRNA from 1 species